UACGUAGGGGGCGAGCGUUACCCGGAUUCACUGGGCGUAAAGCGUGCGCAGGCGGCCCGUUAAGACAGGUGUGAAAUCCCUGGGCUCAACCUAGGAAUUGCGCUUGUGACUGGCGGGCUCGAGUACGGUAGAGGGGGGUGGAAUUCCUGGUGUAGCAGUGAAAUGCGUAGAGAUCAGGAGGAACACCGAUGGCGAAGGCAGCCCCCUGGGCCUGUACUGACGCUCAUGCACGAAAGCGUGGGGAGCAAACAGG
rnacentral:rRNA from 1 species